UCUUAAGAAACAAAGAGAAACAGGAAGAAAAUCCUCAGGCGUCAGUUAGGGUUUUUGCGAUUUUUGUUAUGAAACAAAGAGAAAAUCCUCUUUCUCCUCCUCCCUGUUUCCUAUCUUUCUUCUCUAUUCCCUGUUGAUUUCUUUUCCUUUUGCUUAUAGCAGGUGCAAGAUAUUGAUGAGCUAUAGGUUUAAGCACAACGAUGUGGAUUUGCAAUAUAUAAACGAGGUGUCAGUUAAGGUUUUUGCGAUUUUUGUUAUGAAACAAAGAGAAAAAAUACUGGAAAGCAAAAACUCUAGAACAAAAAGAUCUUUCCAUAAGGCAACUCUUUAUCCUCUCUUAUUAUUUCAUCUCAAAACCCUGAUCCGACUCAUGUUUUGAAUGUGUAUUUUUGAUUUUGUAUUGGUUUUUUGAUCUCACAACCUUUCUCUAAUUUCUUCUUCUGAAUAUUUUCUUUAUUAUACCGACAAACUCAAGCAGCAAAGGUGUUGGUGACGCAAUCCAGGAUGAUGAUAAUCCAUUUGACGUAUUAUCAUGGGUUUGGUGACUCUUUUCGAAGAGCAUGAGAGAGUGAUCAAAGAAGGGAGAUAUUACGAGUAGUUAGAUGCAAAACUAAACCUAAAACCAUGAGUGCAUCUGCUUAUUCUCUAUUGAUUUACUUUUCAUAUAUAUUGAAAAGGAUCCUUUUGGUGGAAAUACAAAAGUAUUUGUUGUGAAUGUAGAUAAUCCUUAGCAACAUCUUGAACGGUGGAUAAUGUUAAACUGCAUAAUUGAUGAGGUGAAUAAAUUAUGUUCUUUGGAGUGGAUGAUAGCGCGAUAGCUGGAUGGGAAAGCUAUCGGACACACCUGGAUGUUGGAAGUAAUAACAGCAAAUUCCAGGAGGAAGGGAAAAACGUAAAAUGGAGGCAUGGCCAAAACUUUUAACAAGUUAAUCUGCCAGCAAAGUGGUUCGAUUUGUGGUGCAUUUUUGAAGCGAACAUUGUGGUAUUCAGGCUAAAGUGUUAUGAUGUCAUGGGAAAGAGAAUCUCUCAUCCGUGUCUAUAUAGUGAAGGUACUAUUAUUUCGCAGGUUAAACGGGAAAGGAUUCUAGCCUUUGCAUCUGGGAUUACAUGUUCAUAUUGGUUGAGGUUAAUUUGUUUGUAAAUAAGGAAAAUUUGUAUGGUAUUACUUGGCUGCAAUAAGUGCGCGGCGGAAAUAGUUGGUGAAGAUGAUUACUACAGUAUGGAUACACUAAAUGUGAAAGCAAGGUCGAGGAACCGAUUAUUAGGGGAAUUAGUUUCUUUUUGGUUCAAUAUCUGCAAAUUAUGAACAUAUAAUCACCACCAAAGGAUUAACUUGAUGUAGGUACCUUUUUUUGUAUUGAAGUGACAGACCGUACCUGCUUCACCAUAUUGGUUGCACUGGAUAGUGAAGUCCAACGGGUUGGCCGAGCCACUGCGUCCGACGUACUCAUGAUGGGAAAGGUAAGUAGCAGAUUCCCUCUCAACUUUGUUAUCCCACCUAGAGGUAGUUACUCAUUUUCAUCGUGUACACUCUAAUUUUAAGAGUAUAUAUGUUUCUGCACAAUGUAAUUCGAAUGUGGAUAUGGGCUGUCAAGUAAGGCAUACAACUUUAACAUGAAUCCACAAUCCAAUCGAAGUUGUAAACUGACUAGGGUGCAGUACCUUAUUACCCACCCAUUAGGUAAAAUAUGAAGGUAUUUCCUUAAUAUGAUCAAUUAAAUAUAGACACUUUGUUUGCAUACUUGCCUGAUCUUUUCUUGAUAUUGUAUGAUGUAUACCUAAAGUUGAGGUACUGUUUUUUCGGUGUAUAUGUUUACAUAAAUUGAUUUUUUUAAUCAUUGUCUGAAAAUAUUCCUAGCAAAAGAAGCUGGGAUGCGUAAUAGGGUCACUAAUGACGUUGGUGAAGAAUGUUGGUUGCUGCUACUGAAACAUAUACAAAUAUACCUACACACUAGAGUUUCUUUCUUUUCGAUACUGUAUUCUCAUUCCAACUGCGAGUUCGGCUUAACAGCUAGAUAUUGCUUCCUCCAAACUAAAGGAUGGGGGAAUAUUUUUCAUGUUUUGAGAAAAGUUGGUAGCUUAAUCACUGACGAAUGUGGUUUGGGGAACACAUCGGGAUCAAGCAAGCAUCUCAAGUUUUGCUCAAUAAUGGGACUUUCACGGGAGCAUCUACAAAAUAGGGAAUACGUUAUUCACACGAUGAAUGAGGAAGGGAAAAACGUAAAAUGGAGGCAUGGCCAAAACUUUUAACAAGUUAAUCUGCCAGCAAAGUGGUUCGAUUUGUGGUGCAUUUUUGAAGCGAACACUGUGGUAUUCAGGCUAAAGUGUUAUGAUGUCACGGGAAAGAGAAUCUCUCACCCGUGUCUAUAUAGUGAAGGUACUAUUAUUUCGCUGGUUAAACGGGAAAGGAGUCUAGCCUUGGCAUCUGGGAUAGGCAUUAAUAUGGCAUUGCUGUAGUUUUCUUGGUUUGUAGCCAAUAGGUUUGCAUUUUUAAUUGCUAGGUGUAGCACACAACGAAUUCUAACUAUGCUUUGUUAGUUGGAUAUUCAUAAUUUUUAGAAUCUUUUUAGUCAGUGAUAUUUUUGUGAAUGUCGUGCAGACACGGAUUUAAAUGAUUUGAUGUUCUGUCAUCUACUUUGAGCUGACAAAAAAACUUUCAUUUAUCAGAUUACAUGUUCAUAUUGGUUGAGGUUAAUUUGUUUGUAAAUAAGGAAAAUUUGUAUGGUAUUACUUGGCUGCAAUAAGUGCGCGGCGGAAAUAGUUGGUGAAGAUGAUUACUACAGUAUGGAUACACUAAAUGUGAAAGCAAGGUCGAGGAACCGAUUAUUAGGGGAAUUAGUUUCUUUUUGGUUCCAUAUCUGCAAAUUAUGAACAUAUAAUCACCACCAAAGGAUUAACUUGAAGUAGGUACCUUUUUUUGUAUUGAAGUGACAGACCGUACCUGCUUCACCAUAUUGGUUGCACUGGAUAGUGAAGUCCAACGGGUUGGCCGAGCCACUGCGUCCGACGUACUCAUGAUGGGAAAGGUAAGUAGCAGAUUCCCUCUCAACUUUGUUAUCCCACCUAGAGGUAGUUACUCAUUUUCAUCGUGUACACUCUAAUUUUAAGAGUAUAUAUGUUUCUGCACAAUGUAAUUCGAAUGUGGAUAUGGGCUGUCAAGUAAGGCAUACAACUUUAACAUGAAUCCACAAUCCAAUCGAAGUUGUAAACUGACUAGGGUGCAGUACCUUAUUACCCACCCAUUAGGUAAAAUAUGAAGGUAUUUCCUUAAUAUGAUCAAUUAAAUAUAGACACUUUGUUUGCAUACUUGCCUGAUCUUUUCUUGAUAUUGUAUGAUGUAUACCUAAAGUUGAGGUACUGUUUUUUCGGUGUAUAUGUUUACAUAAAUUGAUUUUUUUAAUCAUUGUCUGAAAAUAUUCCUAGCAAAAGAAGCUGGGAUGCGUAAUAGGGUCACUAAUGACGUUGGUGAAGAAUGUUGGUUGCUGCUACUGAAACAUAUACAAAUAUACCUACACACUAGAGUUUCUUUCUUUUCGAUACUGUAUUCUCAUUCCAACUGCGAGUUCGGCUUAACAGCUAGAUAUUGCUUCCUCCAAACUAAAGGAUGGGGGAAUAUUUUUCAUGUUUUGAGAAAAGUUGGUAGCUUAAUCACUGACGAAUGUGGUUUGGGGAACACAUCGGGAUCAAGCAAGCAUCUCAAGUUUUGCUCAAUAAUGGGACUUUCACGGGAGCAUCUACAAAAUAGGGAAUACGUUAUUCACACGAUGAAUGAGGAAGGGAAAAACGUAAAAUGGAGGCAUGGCCAAAACUUUUAACAAGUUAAUCUGCCAGCAAAGUGGUUCGAUUUGUGGUGCAUUUUUGAAGCGAACACUGUGGUAUUCAGGCUAAAGUGUUAUGAUGUCACGGGAAAGAGAAUCUCUCACCCGUGUCUAUAUAGUGAAGGUACUAUUAUUUCGCUGGUUAAACGGGAAAGGAGUCUAGCCUUGGCAUCUGGGAUAGGCAUUAAUAUGGCAUUGCUGUAGUUUUCUUGGUUUUUAGCCAAUGGGUUUGCAUUUUUAAUUGCUAGGUGUAGCACACAACGAAUUCUAACUAUGCUUUGUUAGUUGGAUAUUCAUAAUUUUUAGAAUCUUUUUAGUCAGUGAUAUUUUUGUGAAUGUCGUGCAGACACGGAUUUAAAUGAUUUGAUGUUCUGUCAUCUACUUUGAGCUGACAAAAAAACUUUCAUUUAUCAGAUUACAUGUUCAUAUUGGUUGAGG